ACUUAAAUGGUUUAUAGUUAGAACAUGACAUUGAAGAUGUCAAGGAAAUGAUUUAUUUUUAAGUA
rnacentral:tRNA from 1 species